rnacentral:rRNA from 1 species
AUGGAGGAAAAUGUGAAAGAGUGGGAGGCAUACAUGAAACGCAACUCGGGUGACUACUUCCGUCGAUCUUGCGUCAGUUCUGUUGGCAUAUGGCACAAUGACCAGCUAUGCAAAGACAUGGGGUGUGACCCCAGGAGGAAAAAUGGCUUUCUAACUGACUGGGUGGUUCCCUAUGAACCUGCAGAUUAUGCAGGUGUCAGUCCGAGGAAGUAA